AUGGUCAGCCAGCUGACCCUGCCGGCCAGCCAGUGCCCGGCGAGCGGAUUCCUAAAGUGCCACGUGAGGCACAACUCCAGCCCCAGCCGGACGGUGAACGUGCCCUGCCCAGACAUUAAUACAUCAACAGUGAUCAAAGGCUCGUGCUGCCAGCCCCGCCUGACCCUGCACCCGCCGGCCCUCGAGGACCUGCUGCUGAACUCCAAUGCCAGCCUCACGUGCACGCUGAGUGGCCUGAGAGACCCUAAGGGUGCCAGCUUCACCUGGCAGCCCACCGGUGGGAAGGAGGCCAUCCAGCAGGCCCCGCAGAGCGACGCCUGCGGCUGCUACAGCGUGUCCAGCGUCCUGCCGGGCUGCGCCGAGCCGUGGAACCGCGGGCAGAGCUUCUCCUGCACCGCCAACCACCCUGAGGCCACCAGCCCGCUCACUGCCACCAUCGCCAGACCCUCAGGGAGCACCUUCCCACCCCAGGUCCACCUGCUGCCGCCGCCCACAGAGGAGCUGGCCCUCAACGAGCUGGUGACGCUGACAUGCGUGGUGCAGGGCUUCUACCCCGGAGACGUGCUGGUGCGGUGGCAUCACGAGAACCAGGAGCUGCCCCGAGAGAAGUUCCAGACGUGGAGCCCGCUGCCCGAGGACGGCCAGGGCGGCCCCAGGUUCAUCACGACCAGCGUGCUGCGUGUGGAAACGGAGGCGUGGAAGAACGGGGACAACUUCUCCUGCACGGUGGGCCACGAGGCCCUGCCCCUGAGCUUCACACAGAAGACCAUCAACCGCCUGGCGGGUAAACCCACCCACGUCAACGUGUCCGUGGUCAUGUCCGAGGUGGAAGACUACCAGGAGUGGCUUCCCUGUGUGCUGAUAGACCGGUCCCAGGAGGACAGGGAGGAGGACGCCCCGGGAGCCAGCCUGUGGCCCACCACGGUCACCCUGCUCACCCUCUUCCUGCUCAGCCUCUUCUACAGCACAGCACUGACCGUGACGAGUGUCCGGGGCCCACCCAGCAGCAGGGAGCGCCCCCCGUUCUGA